UGGCAAAAAGAGUCCUGUCCCAGCACUGCAAGGGGAAGAUAAAGGCUCGUCAUCUGUGCGUGCGUCCAUCUGAGUGGAACGUGUGUCCCGGGGGCUGCUGCCACCGCGCCGGUCCCUCCUGUAAUCCGAGCCCGUGUCAGAGGACGCGGCGCCUGCAAGGCAAAAGGGUUGCCGCAGGUGUGGCCAGAUCCUCUAGGCAAGAGGUGUGGAUUCAGGUCCUACUAGUCUUACUCCUGAUGAAGCUGGGCAAAUCAGUUGGCUCUGGAGUAAUUAGUAGCCCCUUCCUCACUGACCAUUGCAAGGAAAUACCAGUGAACUUGAGUUUCUCCAAUGAAGGUGAUCACAGUGAUGAAUGACUUGGCUUCUGCACAGCAAAAGACAUGAUCAUCAGAGCGAACAGACAACCUACAGAAUGGGAGAGCAUUUGUGCCAUCUAUCCAUCUGACAAAAGUCUAAAAUCCAAAGUUUACAAAGAACUUAAACAAAUUUACAAGAAAAAAACA
rnacentral:lncRNA from 1 species